rnacentral:other from 1 species
AACACCCUGCUUGGUGCGUGAUGCAUUCUUUUGGACCCACAUUUUAUAUUAGGGAUGCAGGAUUUCUUGUUCUGUUUGCAGACCUCCCGCCUGCGCUUUGACGUAUGGUGGACGUUGGGAGCAGUAAUGAACCGGAGCGGCAACCCACCUGCCUUUUGUGCAGGUCAUAAUUGAAUGCACACGGCUAAAGCGGGAUUGAC